UACAGAGGUCUCAAGCGUUGUUCGGAUUCAUUGGGCGUAAAGGGUGCGUAGGCGGCGCGGUAAGUCGGGUGUGAAAUCUUGGAGCUUAACUCCGAAACUGCAUUCGAUACUGCCGUGCUUGAGGACUGGAGAGGAGACUGGAAUUUACGGUGUAGCGGUGAAAUGCGUAGAUAUCGUAAGGAAGACCAGUGGCGAAGGCGGGUCUCUGGGACGUGACUGACGCUGAGACGCGAAAGCGUGGGGAGCAAACAGG
rnacentral:rRNA from 1 species